GAUGAACGCUGGCGGCGUGCCUAACACAUGCAAGUCGAGCGAUUUACUUCGGUAAAGAGCGGCGGACGGGUGAGUAACGCGUGGGUAACCUGCCCUGUACACACGGAUAACAUACCGAAAGGUAUGCUAAUACGAGAUAAUAUGCUUUUAUCGCAUGGUAGAAGUAUCAAAGCUUUUGCGGUACAGGAUGGACCCGCGUCUGAUUAGCUAGUUGGUAAGGUAACGGCUUACCAAGGCGACGAUCAGUAGCCGACCUGGGAGGGUUAUCGGCCACAUUGGAACUGAGACACGGUCCAAACUCCUACGGGAGGCAGCAGUGGGGAAUAUUGCACAAUGGGCGAAAGCCUGAUGCAGCAACGCCGCGUGAGCGAUGAAGGCCUUCGGGUCGUAGAGCUCUGUCCUCAAGGAAGAUAAUGACGGUACUUGAGGAGGAAGCCCCGGCUAACUACGUGCCAGCAGCCGCAGUAA
rnacentral:rRNA from 1 species